rnacentral:lncRNA from 1 species
UUUGGUUGAAUUAUCUUUGGAUAUGGAAAAUAAUGGAAGCACUACUACCAUUGUUUGAUCACUUUAACGUAUAGUUGCAGUGGUGAGUUUAAUAUUCUAUUUGUUUGGUCAUAUACUUUUGCAGUUUUUUUCUUUUAUCAUCAAAAAAUAAUAUUCUAACUUAUGAUUUUAUCUUCUUUUUUUAGGUUCAAGUUCAAUAAUGCCAUGUGUUCCUAAAGUUGAUUCGAGAGUCGAGACUAUUUGUGUUAUUUUGAUUUUUGAGAAUUUGUUUAACUUAUUUAAGCUUAAUGUGUUAGACACUUAGACUUAUGGCGUUAUGGGCCAGUGUUCUUAUCGUUUUAUGUUGAUGUUGUUGCUGGUUGCCUGCUUAUUAGUUAAACUUAUAACUUUAUGUUUGGCAUAAUGGCAGUAACCAAUAGGUUUGAAAACUUUGCAUAAUGUUGUUGUUGCUGUGAGCGUGUAACACUUUAGUUGUUAUUACUUAUUGGUGUAAACUUAAAUUUUCCUUUUAGUCAGAAUCUUUCGUUUC